GACGAACGCUGGCGGCGUGCUUAACACAUGCAAGUCGAACGGAAAGGCCCUGCUUUUGUGGGGUGCUCGAGUGGCGAACGGGUGAGUAACACGUGAGUAACCUGCCCUUGACUUUGGGAUAACUUCAGGAAACUGGGGCUAAUACCGGAUAGGAGCUCCUGCUGCAUGGUGGGGGUUGGAAAGUUUCGGCGGUUGGGGAUGGACUCGCGGCUUAUCAGCUUGUUGGUGGGGUAGUGGCUUACCAAGGCUUUGACGGGUAGCCGGCCUGGGAGGGUGACCGGCCACAUUGGGACUGAGGGACGGCCCAGACUCGUACGGGAGGCAGCAGUGGGGAAUAUUGCACAAUGGGCGGAAGCCUGAUGCAGCAACGCCGCGUGCGGGAUGACGGCCUUCGGGUUGUAAACCGCUGUCGCCUGUGACGAAGCGUGAGUGACGGUAAUGGGUAAAGAAGCACCGGCUAACUACGUG
rnacentral:rRNA from 1 species